UGCUGCAUGGUUGUCGUCAGCUCGUGCCGUGAGGUGUCGGGUUAAGUCCCAUAACGAGCGCAACCCUUAUCGUUAGUUGCCAUCUGGUAAAGCAGGGGACUCUAGCGAAACUGCCACCGUAAGGUGCGAGGAAGGUGGGGAUGACGUCAAAUCAGCACGGCCCUUAUGUCCAGGGCUACACACGUGUUACAAUGGCCGGUACAGAGGGCAGCUACCUGGUGACAGGAUGCUAAUCUCGAAAACCGGUCUCAGUUCGGAUCGAAGUCUGCAACUCGACUUCGUGAAGCUGGAUUCGCUAGUAAUCGCGCAUCAGCCAUGGCGCGGUGAAUACGUUCCCGGGCCUU
rnacentral:rRNA from 1 species